GUACAAUCCUAUGCAGAACCUGGUCUAAGCAGAUGCUUUCAAUGGAACCUAUUACAGAAAGAAGUCCUUGUGCCAUCAUUUAAAGGGAUUCAUUUCUGCCUACCUUGCAAACAAGGGAAAGGAAUUAUUUGGUGACUUUACCAUAUCAUUGGUCAUUCCAGAGAUGGAACAGUUUCAUGGUCAGUUACUCUGUUCGUAGGAUUUAACAGUGUUGGUUUUUCUGGAUGUAAAAGCACCUGUUUUGCAGCUGAAGGGACAUGGACCGUCACUGGAAUGGCACUUCAAAUUUGAGUGAUUCGUCUCUUUCCUCUGUCAUUUGAAAGGGAUUUUUAAGCACCUGCAUUACAAACUGUGAUUACCAAGCAGAGUAGCAAACCCAGGAGAGGCCAGAGGUUUAACCUGCUUGUUCCAAGAGUUUUAGCUUUCAAUACCAGGUGACUUUGCUGAGAUCCCUCUGCUCAGAGCACUGGAUUCUGGGGUCCCCUUUUGGAGACCUGACACAAAAUGAGGGAUGCAACCUCAGAAUUUCCGUCUGUGAAUGGAACUGAAUGUGUAAUAACAGUGAAAGUGCCUGAACUUGGUCAGUGUCA
ensembl:lncRNA